UCGCUUGAACCUGGAAGGCGGAGGUUGCA
rnacentral:piRNA from 1 species